CUCCCUCUGCCAUCACAUACAAAUCCCUCUGCUACAUUUUGUCUCAUCUCCUCUGUUUGACCUUUAGAUUGUAAGCUCACAGGCAGGGCCCUCUACCUGUUGUAUUGGUCUGUUCCUAUUGUGUUGUCUUUCCCAAUUGUACAGCGGUGCAGAAUAUGUUGGCGCUUUAUAAAUGCCUGUAAUAAAUAAAAUACGGACGUUC